UACAGAGGUGGCAAGCGUUGUUCGGAAUUACUGGGCGUAAAGCGUGCGCAGGCGGCUUUGCAAGACAGAUGUGAAAUCCCCGGGCUUAACCUGGGAACUGCAUUUGUGACUGCAUGGCUGGAGUGCGGCAGAGGGGGAUGGAAUUCCGCGUGUAGCAGUGAAAUGCGUAGAUAUGCGGAGGAACACCGAUGGCGAAGGCAGCCCCCUGGGCCAAUACUGACGCUCAUGCACGAAAGCGUGGGGAGCAAACAGG
rnacentral:rRNA from 1 species